UGGAUAUUUUAGGUUUUUUUAUAGGCUCCAAAGUUCUAACUGCUUUUUCACUCUGUGCUUUGUGGCACUGCUGGGAGAUGUUCCUGCCAAAGCUGCCAAGGGUCUGAUGGAAGGGGGCCUGGCCCGGGAAGGCUCCCCGAAGUUGCUCUGAGCGAUCCUGGAUGCUGCAUGGCUUCAGUCCCUGAGGCCUCCCUGGCCACUAAGAGGAAACAAACCACUGCCAGAGCACAGCCCCACCCUGCAGCUUCCAGAACCCUUGGCUCCGGGACUUUCUCCGGCUCUCCUCUUUGCAUUGUCAAAACGGA
rnacentral:lncRNA from 1 species